CCUGGUGUGAGAGCGUAGCGCAGCCUCUUCCCAACUCGGACAAAUUGUGCGAACAGCACCUUUCUGCCUUUAUUUGAAUUUGAUAGAUCGAUUCCGUCACACGUUUUUGUGAAUUUGACUUCCGACUCGAUUUAGCCAUUUAUAAGUUAAAGAGUAAUUCUAAACAAAUAAUACCAUUCAUGAAAAUGUUACAGAAGAGAUCAAAGUCACAGAGGCCAGCACUUGCUAUGCCACUUUGUCAAACUUUGAUCCACCGCAUAAGUGGGUGUUAAUGGUAUCACAUGAGUUUAUUCAUUGUUUCUCAAGUACUGUCCCAACGUAUUGGGGCAGUAUAUUCUCUCUGAUCGGUAACAAGGCGCAAUUGACAGGUGAUUGGGACCUGGAGCCAUUGUUCUCUCCGCGCCUCUAUACCAGCACAGCAAUCAGCAAGUAUGCGCGAGAUCUCCCACCCAACAGCUUCCCUUGCAGAAAGAAGCGUCUAUUCCAAAAGAUGAAUUCCAAAGGCCUCAACAGACUCCUGAACUGGACUGUACAGAAUACCCCUCCAAUGACAGGUCAAAGGUCAGCCCUUCCUGAUCUGCAGUCUGCACUAAUCUCAGCAUUUAGAGAACAUGAACAUGGCUGUUUUGGUGAUGGAAAAAUUAGGCCUACACUGUGUCCUGAUCUUCAUUAGCCAGAAACUUCAGAGCUGCCCCUGCAGACUGUCUUUUUUCACAGAACCACACAGAUAUUAGUCUGCACAUGCUCAUAAUGGUCAGAUAUUAGUCUGCACAUGCUCAUAAUGGUCAGAUAUUAGUCUGCACAUGCUCAGAAUGGUCAGAUAUUAGUCUGUACAUGCUCAGAAUGGUCAGAUAUUAGUCUGCACAUGCUCAGAAUGGUCAGAUAUUAGUCUGCACAUGCUCAUAAUGGUCAGAUAUUAGUUUGCACAUGCUCAGAAUGGUCAGAUAUUAGUUUGCAAAUGCUCAGAAUGGUCAGAUAUUAGUUUGCACACGCUCAUAAUGGUCUUACUCCUGGUGGGGUCCCCCCAAUACAUACUACUGCCACUUUACCCACUGUCUGUUAUAUUGCAAAUUCCCUAAUUGCCGUUUCUACCCCACACUGCCUGGCUCUUGCUCCAAUCUUCGAGAGUGCUGUCGUCUGGUCUCCCCCCACC